GCAGAAACAGAAUCCCAAUGAAAGUCCUGCCAUGUGAUUUGCAAACGUGCAACCCCCUGGAAUUCAUUCUGCACAAUCCUGGCUCAGACGGAGGAGGAAGACAGYGAAUUUUUUGGGAUAAGAAUUUGCCAAGGGCAUCAACAGCAGUUUUCCCAGGCUUCAGAACGCGGAUUAUGUAGUCAAUCCACAGAUGACUUAAAACUUUGAAAAAAAMCGGCCAUGGUUAUCAGAGGAGCUUUGACAACAGCAAGGACAGCAGCGCUAUCUGCCACAUCCCAUCAGAGAUUCCCGUUCAGCCUAAUUAACAUCGCGAGGACAUCAGUGCGGGCCAUCA